CCACGACCAGAAUAUAAAGGAGAAGCCUUGUACAUGCACAAGGUCUCGAAAAUACAAGGGAAAUAAAGACAAAGGCUCCCUUGGAAACACAACAAAGACUAGAGUUUUUCGAAAAUAAAAACAUAGCAUAAAAACUUAGAUAAAAUUAUAUAACAUAAGGUCUUCAUGUGGACAGACCAAGAUCAAUUAUCUAGGAGGUAAGAGAAGUAACUUGUGGCCUCAUUAAAAACCUUGAUUGGAAAACCCAGUGGGACAAAACCAAUCAAGGGAAAAAGAGUACACACAAGCUACUUGCCUAGAUGAUGAUCAUCUUGAGUGUAGAGUAGCUUGAACGUAGAUCAAGUUGUCUCUGAUGAUAGAAGCUUUAUUUCGGCUCAAACAUUCUUCAAGUGUAGGUUCUUCAACAGCUACGAGCUCUCCAUGAUCAGGUUCAUGAUUCCAUUCCUUGGUGCUUUCCAUGAUCGCAUCAUCCCCUCCCACUUUAAAAAGAUUUGUCCUCAAAUCUGUGUUACCUGCAAUAGAAGGGACCAAGUCAGUAACAUGAGAGUUUGCUUUCCAUGAUCGCAUCAUCCCCUCCCACUUUAAAAAGAUUUGUCCUCAAAUCUGUGUUACCUGCAAUAGAAGGGACCAAGUCAGUAACAUGAGAGUUUAUAAACAGAUAUCGCAUCAUCCCCUCCCACUUUAAAAAGAUUUGUCCUCAAAUCUGUGUUACCUGCAAUAGAAGGGACCAAGUCAGUAACAUGAGAGUUUAUAAACAGAUUACACUUACCUUGCAAGCCUCUUUGAUAGGCAUUGUCGCUGACUGGUUCUAUUAGGUAGAAGGGACAGAUCCAUUUGGCUUUCCUCACUCCUGAGGUAUUACAUAAACCUGAUACAUUGAAACAAGACAAGUUAACACAAGCAAAAUCAUCAUAGAGUAAGAGUCUUAUCCCAAAGUUGUCUUUUCUCGGUUUUGGCUUGUAUGCUGCAUCUGGAGGUGCUUCUAUGAUGAGGAUGAAGCAAGUGACGUCCUGAUGUCUCUCCUGCCUUAGAUCAGGCGGCUUGAAACGUUUGUCUUCCUCAUGCUUGUUCUUUCUCUUUGCAUGCUUCAAAGCUUCCAUAUAAUCUGCACAUGACUCUUUUGACAAAAACAAGUGCAUCAUAUCUGUGUAAUCAAUAAAAUAACUCUUGAAAACAUGUUUAGUUACCUUAGCAUGCUCACCUGGUCGCCAUAGAUAGGUUUGAGAUGUUCUAAACUCAGAAAAAUUCAAACAAAGUAAACACAGAAUCACCCGACUUGUAGAAUCCAUAACUGUUUCAUUUGAGAAGCUUUGGACAUGAUUCCAAUUCGACGUGAGACCCUGAUGAGUUAAGUUUCCAUUGCCGUUGAGUUUGUUGCUUAAUUCCUUCUGGUUGCUGAGAUAUGAUCCUCGGACUGCUCCUAUGUUAAAGCUGGCGGCUAGACAGCUUCCAAGAUUUGAUUGUUGCAUCUCCAAUUUAGCCAAGGACUUAUCAUGUAUACUCUGAUCAUUAUAGCCCCUUUCUUCACCUGUACCUUUUUCAGCUUGUUUUGGACAAGUCAAGUGUGUUAUCAUGUCAAAGAAAGUGUUGUAGACCAGAAUGUCUCCAAAGCACAAAACAGCAUGAUUCCUCCAUCUAUUAUGCAUAUCAAAGAAAAUAUUGCAGACCCAAAUAUCAUCAAGAAUUAAAUUCAUACAUUCAGAAUCAGUGAACUCUAGUUUCAAUUGAGCAACAGGUGUAUCAAAGAAAGUGUUAUACACUAGAAUAUCCUCAAAGAACAACCCUACACGUUCAGAAUCAUUUUUAGCACACAAACAGUCAAGCUCAAACUCAAAGAUAUUUGCAGACUUCACAAUUUCAACCCUAACAUCAGAAUGAUGAAAUUUCGGUUCAUGCAACUUCCUAGGUUCUUUCAAGACAUAUGUGGAUGCAAGAAAAUAAUCAGAGAUCAGUUCAUGCCUAGGAAAGUUCACAACAAAACUAUUUUCUUCAGUUCUAGCAAACAAAUCAAAAGGUUUUCUAAAAUAGAACUCGGGUGGCUUAAAAACAGGUUUUAAAAUCUUUUCAUGGUGAUUCAUAAAUUGUUCAAAACUCAAAACAUGACCAGAAAAGUUUUUAUUACCAUAUUGAAAAUUUUUUUGAUCAAAAAGUUUAUCUGGUUCAAGUUCUUUGAAAGAUUUAAGCAUUCUGUCAUAAACAGAGUUUGAAACACAAAAAUCUUUAACCUUUUCGAGACCAAAACGCUUCACAUCCUGAGUAGUAACCACAACAAACAGUUCAGGCACAGAAGUAACCAUAUUAAACUCCUUACAGUGCUUUUGCAGGUCAUAAGACAAGGGUUCAUGAAUAGUUUCUGAUUGCAAGUUUUUCUGCUGUUCUUCUUGUGUUGUACUCUCUGGUUCUUUUUCUGCUGAGUCUUCUUUUGCAACCUGUGACACUGAAACAAUUCUACUCGGUUGCACCGGUUCAAGACAAGUUAGUUCAUCAAAGGAAUUAUCAAAAUUAGAUUCAGAGUGAGGUAAGAACAGAGAAAACUCUUGUUCUUUCUCAAACUUUCCUUUUCCCAUAGAUGUUUUGGUUUGAGCUUCUUGAAUUGGGGCAGCUGAGUCUGGUUCUGCAUCAUUGAGUUCUGAGACAGUAGCAACUGGUUCUUGAUUCUUUGGGAGCUUCUUCUGCUUUUCUAAGUGCUUGCUGGUCUUAAGAAUCUCCUUAACAAGGCUGCUGAUUUCUUUCUCAUAAUCAGCCAUCUUGGUUUCUGAUUUUUCACUUUUGAAGUCUGUUGCGGAUAUGACUUUCUUCUUUGGAGAUUUCAGAGAAGUGUGGCCUUUGGAGGCAUACUUCUUCCUUAGUAGGAACUUCAGAUCUUCCCAAGUGGUGAUAGCUGGUUCUUUGUAGUACCUGCGACCAUCUUCUUCUUGCAACAACCACUUAAAAACGUUUCCUUUGAGCUGAGACAUCACAUAAGCCAAUGCUUCUCUCUUCAGAAUUUUGUUGUAGCACAGCCACUUCUCCAUUGUUCUUUCCCACUUUAAAUAAUCACCUUCCCCUGUAAAAACAUAAAGUUGAGGCUUAGUGAUAAUUUGAUUGUAAGAAGAAUGAAUAUUUGAUUUAGGAGUGCGAGAAGCUUGAUGUGGUCUGCUCGAAGUGUGGGCUGGCUGUUUGUAAGACUGUUGUCCACGUCCUGCUUCCUCUUCCUUAUACCACUUAUGCUUGCUUGACUUGUUUGGAACAGAAUCUGGUGGUCUAGGCUCAAGCUUUUGUUUGUCCAUUCUCUUUUUAUUCUGCUGCCUAAGAUCAUCAGUUUGCUGCAGAAACUUUUGUCUAAGCUCCUUUCGAAAUUCACCCAUGUUGGUAUCCAACAUCUGCUGCAUUUGAGCAUUCAUAGAUUUAAGUAACAGCCUUUCUUCCUUAGUGAGUUUUCCUUUCUGAUCUCCUGCCAUUGUACCUGAGACAGAAAACAACACACAGCAUUAACAAGUUCUACAGAGAAAACAAAAAUCAAUUUGCAAAACCAGAAACAGAUUCAAAUUGAAGCUUUAAACCUUAGACAAUUCUUAGAACAAAUUCAAAACUAAUCAGAACAGAAGUGAUAAAUCUCAAACCUAACAGAUCAGAUUGAUUUUCGAACUAGACCACAAAAAUAGAGAGAUAGAUUUCAAUUUUAGAUUCAAGAGCAGAUUUUUCAAAAGAAAAAUAACAAAAACGAAAUCAAUCAAACUUGCACUGCACGGAUCAGGUUUCAAGAGAUCAAACAACACAAGAUCAGAGAUGAUAUGAUAACAGAUGAUGAGAUUUAGAUCAAGUAAGAAUAGAUCUAAAACAAUAAGAACAGAUCGGAAUCACACAAACAGAUUUAGAUCAACACAAUCAGAGAACUUGAUCAACAAGGAUCCGAACAGUCUAAUACCCAAAACAAGAUCUAAUCAACCCUAAUUCGACAGAUUCUUACAUAAGAAACACAGAUCAACACGAAAUCAAAGAGUAUAUUAAGAGACUUCAACAGAUUCGUGAUCAAAACACUCAGAUUUAUCAGAUUUCAACAAUAGAAACACAGAUCGAUCAAAAUCACAACAGAAUAUGAAGAGAUCAAAUCGAAAAUCAGAGAGAAAACAAACACUUCCCUUCCAGAGUUGCUCUGAUACCACUUAAUGAGAUCCUAGGAUGAUGCUCUGGAACAGAUGGGAUAAUCCUUGCAGAAACGAAUCAAAAGACUCAAGUUUCUCAAGGUAUGUGGAUCGAAUGGUGACACAAGAGGCUGCGGAAAGGCUCCUUGAUACUCCUAGGUAAUAGAUUGGAUAUGACACACCAAACUAGAGCCCUUAGUCUCUGGAUAUUACACACCAGAAGUUGGAUAUUACACACCAACACUCAAUCAACUCGACAAGCAAGAAGAAAAGAGAAAACAAAGGUUUUUGAUAAAAAGAUGGAUGCUGAUACAAGGGGCCACGACCAGAAUAUAAAGGAGAAGCCUUGUACAUGCACAAGGUUUCGAAAAUACAAGGAAAAUAAAGACAAGGCUCCCUUGGAAACACAACAAAGACUAGAGUUUUCGAAAAUAAAAACAUAGCAUAAAAACUUAGAUAAAAUUAUAUAACAUAAGGUCUUCAUGUGGACAGACCAAGAUCAAUCAUCUAGGAGGUAAGAGAAGUAACUUGUGGCCUCAUUAAAAACCUUGAUUGGAAAACCCAGUGGGACAAAACCAAUCAAGGGAAAAAGAGUACACACAAGCUACUUGCCUAGAUGAUGAUCAUCUUGAGUGUAGAGUAGCUUGAACGUAGAUCAAGUUGUCUCUGAUGAUAGAAGCUUUAUUUCGGCUCAAACAUUCUUCAAGUGUAGGUUCUUCAACAGCUACGAGCUCUCCAUGAUCAGGUUCAUGAUUCCAUUCCUUGGUGCUUUCCAUGAUCGCAUCA
rnacentral:lncRNA from 1 species